rnacentral:rRNA from 1 species
AACGAACGCUGGCGGCAGGCCUAACACAUGCAAGUCGAGCGCGCCCUUCGGGGUGAGCGGCGGACGGGUUAGUAACGCGUGGGAAUAUGCCCAGAUCUGCGGAAUAGCCUCUGGAAACGGAGAGUAAUACCGCAUACGCCCUUCGGGGGAAAGAUUUAUCGGAUUUGGAUUAGCCCGCGUUGGAUUAGGUAGUUGGUGGGUAAUGGCCUACCAAGCCGACGAUCCAUAGCUGGUUUGAGAGGAUGAUCAGCAACACUGGGACUGAGACACGGCCCAGACUCCUACGGGAGGCAGCAGUGGGGAAUCUUAGACAAUGGGGAAACCCUGAUCUAGCCAUGCCGCGUGAGUGACGAAGGCCCUAGGGUCGUAAAGCUCUUUCAGCUGUGAAGAUAAUGACGGUAGCAGCAGAAGAAACCCCGGCUAACUCCGUG